GCUUAACACAUGCAAGUCGAGGGGCAGCAUGGUCUUAGCUUGCUAAGGCCGAUGGCGACCGGCGCACGGGUGAGUAACACGUAUCCAACCUGCCGUCUACUCUUGGACAGCCUUCUGAAAGGAAGAUUAAUACAAGAUGGCAUCAUGAGUCCGCAUGUUCACAUGAUUAAAGGUAUUCCGGUAGACGAUGGGGAUGCGUUCCAUUAGAUAGUAGGCGGGGUAACGGCCCACCUAGUCUUCGAUGGAUAGGGGUUCUGAGAGGAAGGUCCCCCACAUUGGAACUGAGACACGGUCCAAACUCCUACGGGAGGCAGCAGUGAGGAAUAUUGGUCAAUGGGCGAGAGCCUGAACCAGCCAAGUAGCGUGAGGGAUGACUGCCCUAUGGGUUGUAAACUUCUUUUAUAAAGGAAUAAAGUCGGGUAUGGAUACCCGUUUGCAUGUACUUUAUGAAUAAGGAUCGGCUAACUCCGUGCCAGCAGCCGCGGCAAUACGGAGGAUCCGAGCGUUAUCCGGAUUUAUUGGGUUUAAAGGGAGCGUAGAUGGAUGUUUAAGUCAGUUGUGAAAGUUUGCGGCUCAACCGUAAAAUUGCAGUUGAUACUGGAUAUCUUGAGUGCAGUUGAGGCAGGCGGAAUUCGUGGUGUAGCGGUGAAAUGCUUAGAUAUCACGAAGAACUCCGAUUGCGAAGGCAGCCUGCUAAGCUGCAACUGACAUUGAGGCUCGAAAGUGUGGGUAUCAAACAGGAUUAGAUACCCUGGUAGUCCACACGGUAAACGAUGAAUACUCGCUGUUUGCGAUAUACUGCAAGCGGCCAAGCGAAAGCGUUAAGUAUUCCACCUGGGGAGUACGCCGGCAACGGUGAAACUCAAAGGAAUUGACGGGGGCCCGCACAAGCGGAGGAACAUGUGGUUUAAUUCGAUGAUACGCGAGGAACCUUACCCGGGCUUAAAUUGCAGAUGAAUUACGGUGAAAGCCGUAAGCCGCAAGGCAUCUGUGAAGGUGCUGCAUGGUUGUCGUCAGCUCGUGCCGUGAGGUGUCGGCUUAAGUGCCAUAACGAGCGCAACCCUUGUUGUCAGUUACUAACAGGUUCCGCUGAGGACUCUGACAAGACUGCCAUCGUAAGAUGUGAGGAAGGUGGGGAUGACGUCAAAUCAGCACGGCCCUUACGUCCGGGGCUACACACGUGUUACAAUGGGGGGUACAGAGGGCCGCUACCACGCGAGUGGAUGCCAAUCCCCAAAACCUCUCUCAGUUCGGACUGGAGUCUGCAACCCGACUCCACGAAGCUGGAUUCGCUAGUAAUCGCGCAUCAGCCACGGCGCGGUGAAUACGUUCCCGGGCCUUGUACACACCGCCCGUCAAGCCAUGGGAGCCGGGGGUACCUGAAGUGCGUAACCGCGAGGAGCGCCCUAGGGUAAAACUGGUGACUGGGGCUAAGUCGU
rnacentral:rRNA from 1 species